GACGAACGCUGGCGGCGUGCUUAAUACAUGCAAGUCAACUGAACUUAGGAUAGCAAUAUUUUAAGGGAGGUGGCGCACGGGUGAGUAACACGUAGGUAAUCUGCCUUUAGGUCUGACAUAACCUACCGAAAGGUAGGCUAAAAUCAGAUGAUGCAGCGGCUCGACAUCGAGACAGUUGUUAAAUCUUCGGAGCCUAAAGAUGAGCCUGCGUCUGAUUAGGUAGUUGGCGGUGUAACGGACCACCAAGCCUGCGAUCAGUAGCUGGUCUGAGAGGAUGAUCAGCCACACUGGAACUGAGACACGGUCCAGACUCCUACGGGAGGCAGCAGUAAGGAAUAUUGCUCAAUGGCCGAAAGGCUGAAGCAGCAACGCCGCGUGGAGGAUGAAAUACUUUUGUAUGUAAACUCCUGUAAGAAGGGAAAAUGUUCCGAUUCAUCGGAAUUGAUUGUACCUUCAGAGUAAGCCCCGGCUAACUACGUGCCAGCAGCCG
rnacentral:rRNA from 1 species